rnacentral:rRNA from 1 species
UAGCUAGUUGGUGAGGUAAAGGCUUACCAAGGCGACGAUCUGUAGCGGGUCUGAGAGGAUGAUCCGCCACACUGGAACUGAGACACGGUCCAGACUCCUACGGGAGGCAGCAGUGGGGAAUUUUGGACAAUGGGGGCAACCCUGAUCCAGCCAUGCCGCGUGAGUGAAGAAGGCCUUCGGGUUGUAAAGCUCUUUCGGCCGGGAAGAAAUCGCAUGGGCCAAUACCCUGUGUGGAUGACGGUACCGGAAUAAGAAGCACCGGCUAACUACGUGCCAGCAGCCGCGGUAAUACGUAGGGUGCGAGCGUUAAUCGGAAUUACUGGGCGUAAAGCGUGCGCAGGCGGGUUUGUAAGACAGGCGUGAAAUCCCCGGGCUUAACCUGGGAACUGCGUUUGUGACUGCAAGGCUAGAGUACGGCAGAGGGGGGUGGAAUUCCACGUGUAGCAGUGAAAUGCGUAGAGAUGUGGAGGAACACCAAUGGCGAAGGCAGCCCCCUGGGUCGAUACUGACGCUCAUGCACGAAAGCGUGGGUAGCAAACAGGAUUAGAUACCCUGGUAGUCCACGCCCUAAACUAUGUCAACUAGGUGUUGGGUGGGUAAAACCAUUUAGUACCGUAGCUAACGCGUGAAGUUGACCGCCUGGGGAGUACGGCCGCAAGGUUAAAACUCAAAGGAAUUGACGGGGACCCGCACAAGCGGUGGAUGAUGUGGAUUAAUUCGAUGCAACGCGAAAAACCUUACCUACCCUUGACAUGCCAGGAACUUGCCAGAGAUGGCUUGGUGCCCGAAAGGGAGCCUGGACACAGGUGCUGCAUGGCUGUCGUCAGCUCGUGUCGUGAGAUGUUGGGUUAAGUCCCGCAACGAGCGCAACCCUUGUCGUUAAUUGCCAUCAUUUAGUUGGGCACUUUAACGAGACUGCCGGUGACAAACCGGAGGAAGGUGGGGAUGACGUCAAGUCCUCAUGGCCCUUAUGGGUAGGGCUUCACACGUCAUACAAUGGUCGGUACAAAGGGUUGCCAAGCCGCGAGGCGGAGCCAAUCCCAGAAAGCCGAUCGUAGUCCGGAUUGCAGGCUGCAACUCGCCUGCAUGAAGUCGGAAUCGCUAGUAAUCGUGGAUCAGCAUGUCACGGUGAAUACGUUCCCGGGUCUUGUACACACCGCCCGUCACACCAUGGGAGCGGGUUCCGCCAGAAGUAGGUAGCCUAACCGCAAGGGGGGCGCUUACCACGGCGGGGUUCGUGACUGGGGUGAAGUCGUAACAAGGUAGCCGUAGGGGAACCUGCGGCUG